rnacentral:rRNA from 1 species
GACGAAUGCUGGCGGCGUGCUUAACACAUGCAAGUCGAACGGAAAGGCCCUGCUUGCCGGGUACUCGAGUGGCGAACGGGUGAGUAACACGUGGGUGAUCUGCCCUGCACUUCGGGAUAAGCCUGGGAAACUGGGUCUAAUACCGGAUAGGAGCCAUUUUUAGUGUGAUGGUUGGAAAGUUUUUUCGGUGUAGGAUGAGCUCGCGGCCUAUCAGCUUGUUGGUGGGGUAAUGGCCUACCAAGGCGGCGACGGGUAGCCGGCCUGAGAGGGUGGACGGCCACAUUGGGACUGAGAUACGGCCCAGACUCCUACGGGAGGCAGCAGUGGGGAAUAUUGCACAAUGGGCGCAAGCCUGAUGCAGCGACGCCGCGUGGGGGAUGACGGCCUUCGGGUUGUAAACUCCUUUCGCUAGGGACGAAGCUUUUGUGACGGUACCUAGAUAAGAAGCACCGGCUAACUACGU